rnacentral:lncRNA from 1 species
GCGGCUCAAGUUCGGAUGGCAGCUUACAAACAGAAAGUAGCCCGCUACUACAACUCCUGGAUCAAAAGCAAGGUCUUCCGGGCGGGGGACCUGGUGCUACGGCGAGCCGCUGCCUCACAACCUCAGAAUCAAGGGAAACUUGCCCCGAACUGGGAAGGCCCGUAUGAAGUCAAGGAGGUAGUCCGACCUGGAAUGUACUAUUUGAAAG